UACAGAGGGUGCGAGCGUUGUCCGGAAUCACUGGGCGUAAAGGGCGCGUAGGUGGUGACCCAAGUCCGUGGUGAAAGCUCGUCGCUUAACGACGAGUCGGCCACGGAGACUGGGUGGCUCGAGCACUGUAGGGGCAGAUGGAAUUCCGGGUGUAGCGGUGGAAUGCGUAGAGAUCCGGAAGAACACCAGUGGCGAAGGCGGUCUGCUGGGCAGUUGCUGACACUGAGGCGCGACAGCGUGGGGAGCAAACAGG
rnacentral:rRNA from 1 species